AUACUUACCUAGCAGGGGAGAUACCAUGAUCACAAAGGUGGUUUUCCUAGGAUGAGGCUUAUCCAUUGCACUAUGGGUGUACUGAUCUCCUGUGAUUUCCCCAAAUGUGGGGAACUUAAUUGCAUAAUUUGUGGUAGUGGGGGACUGCGUUCAUGCUUUCCCCUA